rnacentral:lncRNA from 1 species
UGCUUGCCUAAUCUUCACCGCCAGGUACUAUACUAAGUGCUUUCCCUGGAUACUCUCACUGAAUCCUCACAAUAAUCCUAAGUGGUAGGAUUACCCUGUUUCACAAACGAAGAGGUUGAAGUUCAGCAAGAUCAACAGUUUGCCUAAGGUUAGUAAGUAGCACCCCUGUAAUGUAGAAACUGGUUAGGCUGACAGGAGAGGUCAUGCUCUCUCCA